AGUAUUUUUGCCACUCAAUCUUGGAGAUAAGGAAUAUUUGUGGUGAUGAGGUGGCAUGCCAAGGCUGAUGGGAUCUGGAAGGAUGAGGUUAUCCCAAUUAUGAGCUUCUGUGGUGAAGUUGGAGAGCAGAAGGUGACAUGCAUACUGUGUUCAGGAAUCUGACAGGAUGUCUUCAAUGGCUGGGCUCUAUAGAUGGACCUCACUUUCCUUCAGUUUCCUCAUCUGAAAAAUGAGGAGGUUGGAUCAGAUGGCCUCUGAGGUCCCUUCCAAGUCUAAUUCUAUGCUCUUAUGCCUGAGGCUGUCUAGAUAGAGAGAACUGAGGUUAUUGUGGAAUCCUCUCAUCCAGGGCUGAUUAGAUUUGUUCCAUUGGAGUCUCCAAAUUGAGUGGAUUACAUAGCAGGGUGGGGGUGCCCAGAUGUCUUCACUUUAACUGCUAUCUCACAUUACCUCCCUCACUGGAUCUGUCUGUGGCAAAUGCAUUUGUUUUAUGAUUUUCCUAAAUAUGAAUAAUACUGUUCACAACAUUAAAACAAAUUUGGUCAGAUAAAUAUGAAGUUACAAUUUUGAAAGGUUCUUGGCUCAGUUAAAUAGCAAAGGAUCCAAGGAUUCCCAAAGGAUUUUUAAAAGU
rnacentral:lncRNA from 1 species